rnacentral:rRNA from 1 species
UACGUAGGGUGCAAGCGUUGUCCGGAAUUAUUGGGCGUAAAGAGCGUGUAGGCGGCCAGGUAGGUCCGCUGUGAAAACUCGAGGCUCAACCUCGAGAUGUCGGCGGAAACCAUCUGGCUAGAGUCCGGAAGAGGAGAGUGGAAUUCCUGGUGUAGCGGUGAAAUGCGCAGAUAUCAGGAAGAACACCCGUGGCGAAGGCGGCUCUCUGGGACGGUACUGACGCUGAGACGCGAAAGCGUGGGGAGCGAACAGG